rnacentral:misc_RNA from 1 species
GAUGAAGAACGCAGCGAAAUGCGAUAAGUAAUGUGAAUUGCAGAAUUCAGUGAAUCAUCGAAUCUUUGAACGCAUCUUGCGCUCCUUGGUAUUCUGAGGAGCAUGCCUGUUUGAGUGUCAUUAAAUUCUCAACCUCACCAGUUUUGUAACGAGACAGGUGAAGGCUUGGAUGUGGGGGUUUUGCAGGCUGCCUCAGUGCUGGUCUGCUCUCCUGAAAUGCAUUAGCGAGCUCAUAUUGAGCUUCCGUCUAUUGGUGUGAUAAUUAUCUACGCCGUGGAUUGGACUCAUGCUUGCUUCUAACCGUCCGCAAUGACAAUUUACUUGACCAAUUUGACCUCAAAUCAGGUAGGACUACCCGCUGAACUUAAGCAUAUCAAUAAGCGGAGGA